rnacentral:lncRNA from 1 species
AUACUAAGUGAAAUAUGCUAAGUGAAAUAAGCUACUCACAGAAAGACAAAUACUUCAUAAUUCUACUUAUAUGAGGUAUCUAAAAGAGUCCAAUUCAUAGAACCAAAGAUUGGAAUGGUGGUUGCCAGGGGUGGGGGUGGGGGGUGUGGGAAGAGAAAAUGGGGAUUUACCAAUUAAUGGGCAUAAAGUUUCAGAUAAGCAAGAUGAAUAAAUUCUAGAGUUCUGCACGACAUUGUACUAUAAUCAACAAUAAUGUCUUAUACACUUCAAAAAUAUUAACAGGGCUGGGCAUGGUGGUUCAUGCCUGUAAUCCCAGCACUUCAGGAAGCCGAGGCGAGUGCAUCACCUGAGGUCAGGAGUUAGAGACCAGUCUGCCAACAUGGUGAAACCCUGUCUCUACCAAUAAUGCAAAAAUUAGCCGGCCCUGGUGGCAUACACCUAUAAUCCCAGCUACUCGGGAGGCUGAGGCAGGAGACUGGCUUGAACCUGGGAGGCAGAAGUUGCAGUGAGCCAAGACUGCGCCAUUGCACUCCAGCCUAGGCGACAAGAGCAAAACUCCGUCUCCAAAGAAAAAAAAAAUUAACAGGAUAGGUCUUGCAUCAAGUGUUCUUAUCACAAUACAGCAAAACAAAAUAACCUCUUCAGGUUACCUUUCAUCUCUUUCCUUUCCUUGGCAAGCAAUCACCGAGUUCUAUAGUUAUUUCCUUUGUCUUGGUUCCGUCUUUGGUACUCCUGUCAUCACUACUAAAGUGCACCCUGUUACCACUUGUGGUGCUGUAAUAAUUACCUUCUAAUGGCCCUCUGUACAUUCAGAAUCCUUUCUAAUUUAUUCUACCUGAGCAAUCUUCUUAGUACUCUACUGCUUAAAAAGCCUCUUAAUGACUGUCCACUGUUUCAUAGAAGGAAAUGGAAACUUCUUGACUUACAAAGCUCAAGACUCUUAACAAUCAGAUUUCAAUUUGCCUUUCUUUCCUUCUCUUUUCCUGUUUCCUAUCAUGAAACCCCCUCUUUCAGCCAGGCUGUUUUGUCUGUUCUUUCAUGUUAUACUCCACUUUUUACCUGACUUCCAAAUUCUCCCUUACUCAUAGCCUAUCCAGGACCUAAUCAUAAUUUAAAGCUCAGGGAAAGAGGUUUUUUUUUUUCUUCUUCUUCUUCCAAGUAAGCUUUCUUUGAUUUAAUUCAGAGCCAUCUCAUCUCGUUUGAAAUUCCUGUAUAAUUUAUCAUUCAUACUAACAUUUAGUGCCUUACUUUGUCAGUUAACUUUUAAUGCAUAUGCCUCAUUUCUUUAAUACACAUUGCUAAUUUC